rnacentral:rRNA from 1 species
GACGAACGCUGGCGGCGUGCUUAACACAUGCAAGUCGAGCGGAGCGGCGAACGGGUGAGUAACGCGUGAGUAACUGCCCCCCUCUCUGGGAUCACAGUUGGAAACGGCUGCUAAUACCGGAUAGUGUGGGAUGACUCGCGUCCUAUCAGCUUGUUGGUGGGGUAGUGGCCCACCAAGGCGACGACGGGUAGCCGGCCUGAGAGGGCGACCGGCCACAUGGUGCUGAGAUACGGCCCAAACUGCUACGGGAGGCAGCAGUGGAGAAUAUGGCACAAAGGGGGGAACCCUGAUGCAGCAACGCCACGAGCGGGAUGACGGCCUUCGAGUUGUAAACCGCGUUCAGCCAUGACGCGGUAGUGGCAGAAGAAGCACCGGCUAACUACGUGCCAGCCGCCGCGGUAAUAC